UGAAAUGCGUAGAGAUCUGGAGGAAUACCGGUGGCGAAGGCGGCCCCCUGGACGAAGACUGACGCUCAGGUGCGAAAGCGUGGGGAGCAAACAGGAUUAGAUACCCUGGUAGUCCACGCCGUAAACGAUGUCGACUUGGAGGUUGUGCCCUUGAGGCGUGGCUUCCGGAGCUAAUGCGUUAAGUCGACCGCCUGGGGAGUACGGCCGCAAGGUUAAAACUCAAAUGAAUUGACGGGGGCCCGCACAAGCGGUGGAGCAUGUGGUUUAAUUCGAUGCAACGCGAAGAACCUUACCUGGUCUUGACAUCCACAGAACUUUCCAGAGAUGGAUUGGUGCCUUCGGGAACUGUGAGACAGGUGCUGCAUGGCUGUCGUCAGCUCGUGUUGUGAAAUGUUGGGUUAAGUCCCGCAACGAG
rnacentral:rRNA from 1 species